CCUACGGGUGGCAGCAGUCGAGAAUCAUUCACAAUGGGGGAAACCCUGAUGGUGCGACGCCGCGUGGGGGAAUGAAGGUCUUCGGAUUGUAAACCCCUGUCAUGUGGGAGCAAAUUAAAAAGAUAGUACCACACUAGGCAGAGACGGCUAACUCUGUGCCAGCAGCCGCGGUAAUACAGAGGUCUCAAGCGUUGUUCGGAAUCACUGGGCGUAAAGCGUGCGUAGGCUGUUUCGUAAGUCGUGUGUGAAAGGCGCGGGCUCAACCCGCGGACGGCACAUGAUACUGCGAGACUAGAGUAAUGGAGGGGGAACCGGAAUUCUCGGUGUAGCAGUGAAAUGCGUAGAUAUCGAGAGGAACACUCGUGGCGAAGGCGGGUUCCUGGACAUUAACUGACGCUGAGGCACGAAGGCCAGGGGAGCGAAAGGGAUUAGAUACCCCAGUAGUC
rnacentral:rRNA from 1 species